CCUACGGGUGGCAGCAGUGAGGAAUAUUGGUCAAUGGCCGGAAGCCUGAACCAGCCAAGUCGCGUGAGGGAAUAAGGCCCUAUGGGUCGUAAACCUCUUUUGUCAGGGAGCAAAGGCGUCCACGAGUGGACGAAAGGAGAGUACCUGAAGACAAAGCAUCGGCUAACUCCGUGCCAGCAGCCGCGGUAAUACGGAGGAUGCGAGCGUUAUCCGGAUUUAUUGGGUUUAAAGGGUGCGUAGGCGGAGUGUCAAGUCAGCGGUAAAAUUUCGGGGCUCAACCCCGUCGUGCCGUUGAAACUGACACUCUUGAGUGAGUGAGAAGUAAGCGGAAUGCGUGGUAGAGCGGUGAAAUGCAUAGAUAUCACGCAGAACGCCGAUUGCGAAGGCAGCUUACCGGCGCUCAACUGACGCUGAGGCACGAAAGUGCGGGUAUCGAACAGGAUUAGAUACCCCGGUAGUC
rnacentral:rRNA from 1 species